rnacentral:rRNA from 1 species
CAUGCAAGUCGAACGAUGAAGCCCUUCGGGGUGGAUUAGUGGCGAACGGGUGAGUAACACGUGGGCAAUCUGCCCUUCACUCUGGGACAAGCCCUGGAAACGGGGUCUAAUACCGGAUAAUACCUGCCUGGGCAUCUGGGUGGGUUAAAAGCUCCGGCGGUGAAGGAUGAGCCCGCGGCCUAUCAGCUUGUUGGUGAGGUAGUGGCUCACCAAGGCGACGACGGGUAGCCGGCCUGAGAGGGCGACCGGCCACACUGGGACUGAGACACGGCCCAGACUCCUACGGGAGGCAGCAGUGGGGAAUAUUGCACAAUGGGCGAAAGCCUGAUGCAGCGACGCCGCGUGAGGGAUGACGGCCUUCGGGUUGUAAACCUCUUUCAGCAGGGAAGAAGCGAGAGUGACGGUACCUGCAGAAGAAGCGCCGGCUAACUACGUGCCAGCAGCCGCGGUAAUACGUAGGGCGCAAGCGUUGUCCGGAAUUAUUGGGCGUAAAGAGCUCGUAGGCGGCUUGUCACGUCGGGUGUGAAAGCCCGGGGCUUAACCCCGGGUCUGCAUUCGAUACGGGCUAGCUAGAGUGUGGUAGGGGAGAUCGGAAUUCCUGGUGUAGCGGUGAAAUGCGCAGAUAUCAGGAGGAACACCGGUGGCGAAGGCGGAUCUCUGGGCCAUUACU